rnacentral:rRNA from 1 species
CACUGCCGAGAAAAGCCUCUAGAUAGAAAAUAGGUGCCCGUACCGCAAACCGACACAGGUAGUCAAGAUGAGAAUUCUAAGGUGAGCGAGCGAACUCUCGUUAAGGAACUCGGCAAAAUGACCCCGUAACUUCGGGAGAAGGGGUGCUCUUUAGGGUUAACGCCCAGAAGAGCCGCAGUGAAUAGGCCCAAGCGACUGUUUAUCAAAAACACAGGUCUCUGCUAAACCGUAAGGUGAUGUAUAGGGGCUGACGCCUGCCCGGUGCUGGAAGGUUAAGAGGAGUGGUUAGCUUCUGCGAAGCUACGAAUCGAAGCCCCAGUAAACGGCGGCCGUAACUAUAACGGUCCUAAGGUAGCGAAAUUCCUUGUCGGGUAAGUUCCGACCCGCACGAAAGGCGUAACGAUUUGGGCACUGUCUCAACGAGAGACUCGGUGAAAUCAUAGUACCUGUGAAGAUGCAGGUUACCCGCGACAGGACGGAAAGACCCCGUGGAGCUUUACUGUAGCCUGAUAUUGAAAUUCGGCACAGCUUGUACAGGAUAGGUAGGAGCCUUUGAAACGUGAGCGCUAGCUUACGUGGAGGCGCUGGUGG